GGAGAUAAAGCUCAGGGGUUGAGUGCUUGUUGGCAUGCAUGAGGCCUUGGGUUCGAAUCCCAGUAACUCAG
rnacentral:tRNA from 1 species